CAGAACAUCUACAAUCUGAAAUAUAGUUUCGCUUAGUGAAAAGUGUUGACUAGAGACUCAACGGAUGUCUGAAAAAGUCUCAAUUUCUAUGCGUAUCUCAAAACAUCAUUCAAUUUCCCUUGAUAGUUAAGCAAAUUAAUAAUGUUUCGUACACUUGGAAUUACUGAUAAGAAUGCGAUUGACACCAUUGGCCCCAAAAUUAAGAAAGUUACUACAAUAAGGGCGGGUAUUAUAAUGUACGGUUAACCAACGGUUGAGAUUGACUCAACCCGAAGACGUGGUUUGUUUGAGAUUUCAACUGGGAGUUUGAAGCAGGUAGAAGCAUGGUGCAACCCACGAUCAACGAAUUUUUAACAACAGCAAAUUGCAGAAUCGAUUCGGAAGGAGGAAUAAUUCAAUAAAGUUUCUCGCUAAUA